GACGAACGCUGGCGGCGUGCUUAACACAUGCAAGUCGAGCGGUAAGGCCCUUUCGGGGGUACACGAGCGGCGAACGGGUGAGUAACACGUGGGUGACCUGCCCUCAGCUCUGGGAUAAGCCUGGGAAACUGGGUCUAAUACCGGAUAUGACUCCAUGACGCAUGUUGUGGGGUGGAAAGCCUUGUGCGGCUGAGGAUGGGCCCGCGGCCUAUCAGCUUGUUGGUGGGGUGANGGCCUACCAAGGCGACGACGGGUAGCCGGCCUGAGAGGGCGACCGGCCACACUGGGACUGAGACACGGCCCAGACUCCUACGGGAGGCAGCAGUGGGGAAGUCUUGCGCAAUGGGCGAAAGCCUGACGCAGCGACGCCGCGUGAGGGA
rnacentral:rRNA from 1 species